ensembl:lncRNA
GUUUAGACCCAGAUGGACUUAAUUUCCAGAAGUAUCCUUUUGAGACAGGACUGCCCCAACACUCUGGGACUGAGAGAACUCCACUCCCCACCUUCUCCCACUGGGUUUCCUUGGGCUGAAACAGAACUAGAAUGGACUUGGGGGAGUAGACAAAUUCUGAGCUCCUUGGGCAGAGCGAUUCUGCCCUGGACGCGGGCAAACGCUGGCAUCUCCUCGUCUGGAGAGGAGAGCGGAGCAGUCGUUUCAGGGCAUGGAGGUCAUGCAUUGGCUGCGGAUGAGCUUUGCUUCGCUGGCCUCUCCGCUGUUCUCUCACUGAGGCAGUGAAGGGUGAAAGUGACCACCCUUGGCGGUGACUAUCCUGCGGGGUGGAGGAGAGAAGGCUCGACGUCCUCUAGCACGCGGUGGGCGCCCAUCCAGAACAGAACAGGGAAGGGUUACAGGAGACCUAAACCUGAGGUUGGAGUUAAACACAUCGCAGGGAGAGUCAGAAGGGGUGAAGGUCGAGGCUCGGGAUGGAAGAAUUGGUCCCGGGCCGCCAGGGUGCAGACGGCGGGCUCAGGGACCCAGCGGAAGGCCGGCCGGGCACGCC